rnacentral:ncRNA from 1 species
UCUUAUCAAGAGUGGUGGAGGGACUGGCCCUUAGAAACCACAGCAACCGGCGAGCAAUCGCACGGUGCUAAUUCUUGCUAUUCAUGUU